CCUACGGGUGGCAGCAGUGAGGAAUAUUGGUCAAUGGGCGGAAGCCUGAACCAGCCAAGUCGCGUGAGGGAAUAAGGCCCUACGGGUCGUAAACCUCUUUUGCCGGGGAGCAAGUGCCGGGACGCGUCCCGGCCCGGAGAGUCCCCGGCGAAAAAGCAUCGGCUAACUCCGUGCCAGCAGCCGGGGUAAUAAGGAGGAUGGGAUCGGUGUCCGGAUUUAUUGGGUUUAAAGGGUGCGUAGGCGGGCUUUUAAGUCAGCGGUAAAAAUUCGGGGCUCAACCCCGUCCGGCCGUUGAAACUGGGGGCCUUGAGUGGGCGAGAAGAAGGCGGAAUGCGUGGUGUAGCGGUGAAAUGCAUAGAUAUCACGCAGAACCCCGAUUGCGAAGGCAGCCUUCCGGCGCCCUACUGACGCUGAGGCACGAAAGUGCGGGGAUCGAACAGGAUUAGAUACCCUGGUAGGC
rnacentral:rRNA from 1 species